rnacentral:lncRNA from 1 species
AUAGUAAUCUUAAAUAUCCAUCUUUUGUUUAUAAAUCUGAUUUUAAAGACUCUAUUAAUGGAUAUACUAAUCAAUAUGGACAAUAUGUAGAUGAUAAAUAUAUUUAUUUUUUAAACCAAAUUAGUAAUUUUAACAAAAUGGAAAUAGGGUAUGGUAUUUACCUAAAUAUAUAUAAUACUAUUUAUAAAAAAAAACUAGUCACUAUAAAUAGUAGUUUAUAUAGUGAUAAACAAAAAAAUGUUAAUGAAAGUUUGUUAAAAAAGGCACAAUGUUUUAUUUAUAACAAAGGUCAUCGUUUGUAUAAUAAAUUUACUUUCUUACAUAACAUAAAUACAGACUAUGUAUAUAACACAUUUCAAAAAUUAAAAGAUAAUAUGCAUAUGUUCUUAAAAGUCGAUAGUAUAAAAGAACAAUUGGAAUUGAUUUUUCUUAAGUUAAAAAAUGCGAUACACGAAGAAAUGAUACAAAUCGUACAUACAGAAGAUACAGAAGAUACAGGAGAUACAAAUAGUGAUAAACGUUCACCACUAAAUGAAAAAGAAAAAAUAAAUAAUAAGAACGAAGAAAAAUUAAACUAUAAUAGCAAAUACAGUAGUUGGAUGUUUUUGGCUGUCAUUUAUCCUAUAGCAAAUUAUUUUACAUAUUUUUUUUUUAAAACAAUUAAUUUUUUUAUGUAUAUUUUAAACAGUGACUAUUAUAUAUAUACUAACGAAAAAGGUAUAUAUACUAUAAACAAAAAAAAAGAAGAUAUCGGAUGUAACAAUAGGGCAACUUCGACAUCUGUUUCGACUUUACCAUCAUAUGUAUACAAUGCGUACAAAGAAGAGUAUACAAAUAGAUUGCUUGUGAGUAAAAACACAACGUACAAAUUAGUAGUAUUAAAAGAGAAAGGUAAAAAAAAAAAAAAUAUGCAUGAUGAAGAAAAUGAUACUACACUUAUUGUUAUAGAAAAUAAGAAUAACAAUGUAAACGAUAAAAUUGAUAACAGUAAAAAAAUGAUACAAAAUGUUUCAAAAAUAAACAAUUAUAUAAAAGAAAGUAUAAACAAAAUAAUGAAUAGAAAUACAUGUGGAGGUUGUGGAUCUAAAGUACCUUCUAAUGUUUUAUCAAAAUCGUUAAGGCAGUUAGAUAUAUAUAAUUCUCGUAACGUAUUUUUAGGUAUCAAAGGAACAGAUGAUUGUUGUAUCUUUGUUAAUAGUAAAUCAAAAAAAAGUAAAGAUAGCCCUGCUCUUGUUCAGACUAUUGAUUUUUUUAAAACAUUUAUUGAUGAUGAAUAUGUUUUAGGUGAAAUUAUUUCAAUUCAUUGCUUAUCUGAUAUUUAUAGCAUGGGCGGAGUAGGUAUUUGUGCUUUAAGUGUUUUGAUAGUUAAAGAUAAUAUAGAAAAAAAACUGCAACAGAGGCUAGAAAAUAUAUUAACUGGCAUUUGUCAAAAAUUGAAAGAAGAGAAAUGUGUU